GCGUGCUUAACACAUGCAAGUCGAGCGAAGCAGUUAAGAAGAUUCUUCGGAUGAUUCUUAACUGACUGAGCGGCGGACGGGUGAGUAACGCGUGGGUGACCUGCCCCAUACCGGGGGAUAACAGCUGGAAACGGCUGCUAAUACCGCAUAAGCGCACAGAGCUGCAUGGCUCGGUGUGAAAAACUCCGGUGGUAUGGGAUGGGCCCGCGUCUGAUUAGGCAGUUGGCGGGGUAACGGCCCACCAAACCGACGAUCAGUAGCCGGCCUGAGAGGGCGACCGGCCACAUUGGGACUGAGACACGGCCCAAACUCCUACGGGAGGCAGCAGUGGGGAAUAUUGCACAAUGGGGGAAACCCUGGUGCAGCGACGCCGCGUGAGCGAAGAAGUAUUUCGGUAUGUAAAGCUCUAUCAGCAGGGAAGAUAAUGACGGUACCUGACUAAGAAGCCCCGGCUAACUACGUGCCAGCAGCCGCGGUAAUACGUAGGGGGCAAGCGUUAUCCGGAUUUACUGGGUGUAAAGGGAGCGUAGACGGCAAGGCAAGUCUGAUGUGAAAACCCAGGGCUUAACCCUGGGACUGCAUCGGAAACUGUCUGGCUCGAGUGCCGGAGAGGUAAGCGGAAUUCCUAGUGUAGCGGUGAAAUGCGUAGAUAUUAGGAAGAACACCAGUGGCGAAGGCGGCUUAC
rnacentral:rRNA from 1 species